rnacentral:lncRNA from 1 species
AGCGAGGAACACAAGCCAGCUAGCAAACACUGGGGGAGCUUGGAAGUGGGUUCUCCGGGCCCAAGUAAGUCCGCAGCCCUGUCCAAGAAUUUGACCAAGACCUCAUGAGAGACCUUGAGCCAUAAUCACCCACUAGGCCUCUCUCAGAUUUCUGGCCCUAAGAAACCAUGUGAAAUUAUAAAUUUUGUUGUCUCAAACUUCUUAUCUGGGGUCCUUUGUUGUCCAGCAACAGACAGCUAAUAUAAGAAGAAAAGCAAGACAUGAAGUGGAGGAGAACAAAGACAGUCUGAAACCCUUAAGGAUAAGCUGGAACCAAAGGACAGACUGGAACUUGCAUGGGUCUUACGCUCCUUCUAAGCCUUCAUCUUUGAUGAUGCAUGAUCUGCAGGAGAAACUGGGACCUUUCAUCACAAAGCUAAACAAGCACAUGACUCAGUUGCUGGAGAGGCUGAAGGAAGAUUCAGCAGGAGCUAGAGUGGCUACAGGCCUGGCUGCCACACUGUGCCAUCAAGUUUGACCCAGGAGCAGAAACUAGCCAAUCUAUCAAUCUAUCAAUACCGCUCUGAAGCUACAGUCUCCAACAGGUGGACCAGGUAACUGCUGCUUGUGGUGUGAUGUGUUUACUUAUCUUCUUUGAAUUACCUAAGUGAAGCCAACUGUGGAUCAUGGCACUUAAUUGGUCACAGAGAAAUAGAAGGAUAGAAAAAUUUCUUACCUCAAUUUGCCAAGAGAAACCUGAAACCAGCCAUUUGGAAUUUACCAUCUAUUUCUCUAGGUUUUCCUGGAGAUUAAAGAGAUAGAGUGAAUUUCAG